AAAAGCUCAGCUCUAACCUGGCUCACCAGGACUCCUCAGCUGAGCUUCUCAAAAUGAGGCUCCCUGCUCAGCUCCUGGGGCUGCUGCUGCUCUGGAUCCCUGGAACCAGUGGGGAUAUUGUGAUGACCCAGACUCCUCUCUCUCAGCCUAUCACCCCUGGACAGUCAGUCUCCCUCUCCUGCAGGUCUAGUCAAAGCCUCC